CACAACUAACCUUUGGGUGAAAUUGUGGAAUUGGAAUGCGCUGAUUUUAAUGAUCAGCCCUUCUAAAAUAUAUUUCAUGACUGUCACCUAACACAGCAGUUUGGCCUAAUAGUUUUGACAUUGAUUUGUCAAAUCUUUGGCUUACAUUUGCUUCAGGUUGUCAGUCUUGAUAAUACANAAAACUCAUUCNNANUUUGAUCUGAAAUCAGGUA
rnacentral:rRNA from 1 species